rnacentral:ncRNA from 1 species
AUGCGAGCCCCGGGAAGAGUUUUCUUUUCUCUGUAAGGAGAUCGAGUCCCUGGAAUGGGUUCGCCCCGAGAUAGGGAUGGUGGCUCCGUAGAGCAGUGCGGUUCUUGCGCUGUCCGGUGCGCUCGCGUCGGCCCUUGAAAAUCCGAGUGAGGGAGUGUGAUUUUCGUGCCGGACCGUACCCACAUCCGCAGCAGGUCUCCAAGGUGAACAGCCUCUAGUCGAUGGACCAAUGUAGGUAAGGGAAGUCGGCAAAACGGAUCCGUAACCUUGGGAUAAGGAUUGGCUCUGAGGACUGAGCCGGUCGGGCUGGGGACCUGAAGCAGGAACGGCACUGCACCGGGACUGGGCGGGGCUCGCCGUUCACGCGGCGCGGCCAAGCCCGGACCAGCGUCGGGACCUUCCUGUGGAAAGCCUCAGCUGCGCGGCGUCUGAGGGCUUCGUGCCCAAAGUGCUAUGCUUCGGCCGGCAAAAAACAGUCAACUCAGAACUGGCACGGACCGGGGGAAUCCGACUGUCUAAUUAAAACAAAGCAUUGCGAUGGCCGCUGGUCGGUGUUGACGCAAUGUGAUUUCUGCCCAGUGCUCUGAAUGUCAACGUGAAGAGAUUCAUCAAAGCGCGGGUAAACGGCGGGAGUAACUAUGACUCUAAACGGGGGGAAGGUCUGGCAACCUUGGAGCGAGGCAAUCCUGCUUCACCUCGGUUCCGCGAACUUUUUAAAGUUUUACGCGGAAAAACUACUUUCUCGAGGU